GGUGCGAGCGUUAAUCGGAAUUACUGGGCGUAAAGAGUGCGUAGGCGGUUGCUGAAGUCCGCUGUGAAAGCCCCGGGCUCAACCUGGGAAUGGCAGUGGAAACUAGGCGACUUGAAUCUGGCAGAGGGGGGUGGAAUGCCGCGUGUAGCAGUGAAAUGCGUAGAGAUGCGGCGGAACACCGAUGGCGAAGGCAGCCCCCUGGGCUGAGAUUGACGCUCAGGCACGAAAGCGUGGGGAGCAAACAGGAUUAGAUACCCUGGUAGUCCACGCCCUAAACGAUGGCAACUAGGUGUUGGGGAAGCGAUUUCCUGGUACCGCAGCUAACGCGUGAAGUUGCCCGCCUGGGGAGUACGGUCGCAAGAUUA
rnacentral:rRNA from 1 species